AGUGCAGACCACAAGUGAAGUGGGUGUACUUCACGAGGGGAGAGAACGCGUCUUUUUUAUCUUUUCAUCCUCGAAACUUUGUGCGGAGACCGGCUCACGACAGCGCUCGGGAGCGUUCCUUUGUAAAUCUCUGGUCCUCGGAUCACCGGUCCAGGUUGGCGGCUCUCCCACGUGGCCGUUCAGGAAUGCAGCCCCUCCCUGUGUCACCCAGCCGCCUCUCAGGGCGAAGGUCAGCACCGCGCAGCCUGCACGUGAAUCUGCCCCACCUCCUGCUUUGGUAAACAGAGAGUUUCCGGAACGGAGCGAUGCUCAUUUGUGUAUCGUCUGUGGCUGCUCUUGUGCCCCGAGGGUGGAGCUGAGUAGUUGAACAGAAACUCUGUGGCCCACAGAGUCUGAAAUGUCUACUGCCGGGACCUUCGCAGGAAAGGAUAGGAAGAGAGGCCAGGAAAGGACAGAUACAGCCCAUCAUUCAAGGCCCAGACACGGCAGACUCCUCUGUCACUUUCACGCACAUCUCCUUGGACCACAGCCGGUCCCAUGACCUGGCCUAGCUGCAAGGGAGGCUGGAAAUGCCAUCUUUGGCUUAGGGGCCUGCAAGCUUUUUCUGUAAAAAGCCAAACUGGAAAUGUUUCCAGUGCUGAAGGCUUCACGCUCUCUGCCACAGUCACUUAACUCCACCGGUGCAGCUGCCGCGGACAAGGUGUGAAUAAAUGAUCACGGCUGUGUUCCAGUGAAACUGCGUGUACAAAAAGGGGCUCUGCUCUGGUCGGGAGUCCUGUGAGCUGGUAGUAGAAUUAAAACCAGAAAUCUGCCCAAGGAGGCAAGGAUACACAAUGGGGUGAAGACGGUCUCUUCAUUGAAUGCUUUUGGAAACUUGACAGAUAUAAGCAAAAAAGAAAGAAAAGCUAGACCACUUUCUUAUGCCACAUACAGGGGUAAACCCAAAGUGGAUUAAAGACCUAAGUGUAAGGCCACAGACUGUAAGACUGCCAAAGGAAAAUGUUAGCAAUAAACUCUUUGACAUUGGCCUUGGAAAUGUUUUUUAGGUAUGUCUCCUAAGGCAAAAAAAUCCAAAGUAAAAAUAAACACAUUGGACCACAUCAAACUGAAAAGGUUUUGCACUGCCAAGGAAACCAUCAACAAAACACAAAGGCUACCUACUGAAUAGAAGAUCUUUUUGAUAAAGGGCUAACAUCCAAAAAAGAACUCGCACAGCUCAACAUCAAAGAACAAUCCAAUUAAAAAACGGGCAAAGGACCUGAACAGACACUUCCCCGAAGAGGAAAUACAGACGACUAAUACACAUGUGAAAAGAUGUUCAAUGUCACUAAUCAUCAGAGAGAUGCAAAUUAAAGCCACAAUGAGAUACCACCUCACACCUGUCAGAAUGGCUACCAAUAAAUCCACAAACCACAA